UACAGAGGGUGCAAGCGUUGUUCGGAAUUAUUGGGCGUAAAGGGCGCGUAGGCGGUGCGGUAAGUCUGCAGUGAAAUCUCUGGGCUCAACUCAGAGUCUGCUGUAGAAACUGCCGGGCUUGAGUAUGGGAGAGGUGAGUGGAAUUCCUGGUGUAGCGGUGAAAUGCGUAGAUAUCAGGAGGAACACCUGUGGCGAAAGCGGCUCACUGGACCAUAACUGACGCUGAUGCACGAAAGCUAGGGGAGCAAACAGG
rnacentral:rRNA from 1 species